rnacentral:lncRNA from 1 species
GACCAAUUUGAACGAUAUAAGUGAGCGUUAUUAACGCCUUCAACUCGAUAGGGAGCAGAGACAUCAGAGGAUCCAUAUGAGCACAGCUAAACAUAUACACUAUAUUUUAUACUGAAAAUGUGAGCUUAUAGGUAAUGGAAUAAAUAUUAACAUCGUAUAUAUAUUGGAACAUAUAUAUGGACCAGAGGAUCCACUGGGUA